GACGAACGCUGGCGGCGUGCUUAACACAUGCAAGUCGAACGGAAAGGCCCUGCUUUUGUGGGGUGCUCGAGUGGCGAACGGGUGAGUAACACGUGAGUAACCUGCCCUUGACUUUGGGAUAACUUCAGGAAACUGGGGCUAAUACCUGAUAGGAGCUCCUGCUGCAUGGUGGGGGUUGGAAAGUUUCGGCGGUUGGGGAUGGACUCGCGGCUUAUCAGCUUGUUGGUGGGGUAGUGGCUUACCAAGGCUUUGACGGGUAGCCGGCCUGAGAGGGUGACCGGCAACAUUGGGACUGAGAUACGGACCAGACUCCUACGGGAGGCAGGAGUGGGGAAUAUUGCACAAUGGGCGGAAGCCUGAUGAAGCAACGCCGCGUGCGGGAUGACGGCCUUCGGGUUGUAAACCGCUUUCGCCUGUGACGAAGAGUGAGUGACGGUAAUGGGUAAAGAAGCACCGGCUAACUACGUG
rnacentral:rRNA from 1 species